rnacentral:misc_RNA from 1 species
GAUGAAGAACGUAGCGAAAUGCGAUAAGUAGUGUGAAUUGCAGAAUUCCGUGAAUCAUCGAAUCUUUGAACGCACAUUGCGCCCCUUGGUAUUCCGGGGGGCAUGCCUGUUCGAGCGUCAUUAUAACCCCUCAAGCUCAGCUUGGUGUUGGGGCCUGCCGACUGGCAGCCCUUAAAAUCAGUGGCGGCGCCAUCUGGCUCUAAGCGUAGUAAUUUCUCUCGCUAUAGAGUCCCGGUGGAUGCUUGCCAGCAACCCCCAACUUUCUAUGGUUGACCUCGGAUCAGGUAGGGAUACCCGCUGAACUUAAGCAUAUCAAUAAGCGGAGGA